CUUUACUGCAACUUGGCAUUGGAACUUGGCCGUAUUUGUGUAGGAUAGGUGGGAGACUUUGAUGCAGGGCCGCCAGGUCUUGCGGAGUCGUCGUUGAAAUACCACCCUGGUGCUGACGAGUUUCUAACCGGGUCCGUAAGCCGGAUCCGAGACAGUGUCUGGUGGGCAGUUUGACUGGGGCGGUCGCCUCCUAAAAGGUAACGGAGGCAUUCAAAGGUUCCCUCAGCGUGGUCGGUAAUCACGCGAAGAGUGCAAACGCAUAAGGGAGCUUAACUGCGAGACCGACAGGUCGAGCAGGUACGAAAGUAGGAGUUAGUGAUCCCGCGGUUUAGCGUGGAAUUGCCGUUGCUCAAUGGACAAAAGGUA
rnacentral:rRNA from 1 species